GUCGUUCACUGAAAAUCUUUCGAAAAUUCAAUAAGAUCAGCUGUUGUCAACGAACGAAAUUACUUAGUGAACGACCAAUAAUUAUACCCGCCAAUUUUACUAUCAAAGUGGUUUAUUUAUUAUAAAAAAACUUUUUCUGUUGGAACUUUUUCGAGCGACUUGAGCGUUUAACCAACGAACGAAUACCGAGGGAGUAUCGAGCAGCUCAUAUUGCUAGAACCCGAAGAAAUCGUUUUGAGAAUUUAUAAAAUGGCACACACAUGGAAUGAAAGGCUGCCUAAAAUAGUCAGAAAUAAAAAAAUAUUCAUGGAAACUAUUUAAACAUUGAGAUUUGGAAAAGGUCUAUAUUAAUAACUGUGUGUACUCAAGAGAUUACAAUUCUCCCGGAAUAUAAAACUCCCACCGAGAUGGCCAGGUUCUCGACGCG
rnacentral:lncRNA from 1 species